AGGAAAUUCCGACUGUUAAAUUAACAAGCUGAGCACUCUUGACUCUGGUUCGUGGUUCCCAGUGAUAAAUGUAUCGAGUGAUGAAAGAGUCGACGGUGACAUUUUAAAGUUUGAUUGGCAUGGACUAUCGGAAUGAAGAUGACUGCAGGAAUGGUUUGUUUGAUUAUUGGCCUAUCAAACAUUUUCCAGUCAUUUGAUGAUGCCACCACUUGGGAUAGUAAGCUGCAAAUAUAGACUUGUACUCAGCACUUAAUUAUUGCCUUUGAGAAGUAAGGGAUCCUUUUGACACUGAAUCUCGGUGUAUGCGGUCUCAUUGGAGUAACCCGUCUGAAGCAUUUAGCAAUGGGAUUGGAACCUGUGAUGUGUGACUGUCAUCAGAGUACUGAAAUUUGAUUCCAAGCACAAUCAUGAUUUGCCAGAAGAGCAUCUGUUGGGGGAUGACAAGGAAUAAACAGCAUAAUGAAACUGAAACAUUCAUGUGAAACAGUCUUAGUUUAUGAUAUUGACUUUAAAUAUUCAUAUUUAAAUUUUGAUUUGAGAAACAGACAUAAAUCCACAAAUAUGAACAAAUCAAUUGCUUUCAGUUUUUCAAGAGAAAUAGAUUUUGUUACAGAGUCUAUUUUUAGUUUGGAAUAGAUAUUCUUUUUAAGUAUGUGUCAGAUCUUGCAUGUUAACAUCUGUAUUGAGGUCUUCCGUUUCCAAGAGAAGACAUACCAGUUCUAAUAGUUAAGGUUAUAAAUGUGUGUAAAUAUCUGUAUUUUUACAGUAUAAUUGAUUGAUUGAUUGUUUACUGUUUAACGUCCCUCUCCAGAAUAUUUCACUUAUAUGGAGACGUCACCAUUGGCCGGUGAAGGGCUGCAAAUUUAGGCCUAUAUGCUUGGCACUUAUGACCUUUGAGCAGGGAGGGAUCUUUAUUGUGCAACACCUGCUGUGACACGGGGCCUCAGUUAAUACGGUCUCAUUCGAAGAACCGCCCCAUUUAGUCACCUUUUACAACAACCAUGGGGGUACUGAGGACCUAUUCUAACCCGGAAAGGUUUUUGCUAUUUGAGUCAAAGAAAUAAAGAAUGGUAGCAAAGUUGACAAUUGAAACAUUUCACUUUCUGCUUAUCGCUAAGAAGGAA